UACAGAGGGUGCGAGCGUUAAUCGGAAUUACUGGGCGUAAAGCGCACGUAGGCGGCUUGGUAUGUCGGGUGUGAAAUCCCCGGGCUCAACCUGGGAACUGCAUCCGAAACUGCCUUGCUAGAGUAUGGGGGAGGGAAGUGGAAUUUCCGGUGUAGCGGUGAAAUGCGUAGAUAUCGGAAGGAACAUCAGUGGCGAAGGCGGGUCUCUGGGCCGAUACUGACGCUGAGGAGCGAAAGCGUGGGGAGCGAACAGG
rnacentral:rRNA from 1 species